CAGAGUCACUAAAUAAUGUUAUCCAAGAUACUGAGACAGAUACACAAGAACUUGCAUCAAUUCUUUUAUCAUUGAGCGGUUCGGCCAAGGCUGAUGGUGAUAAUAUGGAGAGGAAGGAGAGGAAAAGAACUUGUAUUGAGAAUGAAUUUACACAGAGUGAUAUGAGCAAAGUCACAGAAGCCAGUGGAGUGGCAUGUCAAACAGAAACUGAAUUGUCAGUGGAUAUUGGUAUACGUCUUCAGAACAAAAUUCUGGAAAACGAGAAUAAACUUUUGAUCUCCA